AGGCAAGUAUUCUUUCUAAAAAUGAACAGCAGGUAAUAAUUCAAACUAGGGGAGGGAAUGAGAAAACAAUACCUUACACUGGCACAGUGUUUUAUAGUUUUUAAAAUUCUUUUUUAUUUUCUUUCUCUUUCCAGGCACCUUGCCACAUAUUGACAUUUUUUUAUUAUGGUCAACAGGCAGGAACAUGGUGUGGAAUUGAAUCUCAUUCUGUCAUCUGCAAGGAUGUGUGGCCUUGGAUCUUAGGCAAGUUACUAAUUUCUUCAAAGACACUAUUUCCUCGCUGGUGAAGGGGAAUUACUAAUGGUGCUUUCUUUACAGUAUUAUGAGGGUUGAAUUGAAUAACACAUGUAAAGCUUUCAGAACAGUGU
rnacentral:lncRNA from 1 species